GAUGCAGUAUUGGAUCAUUUUGUUCAUUAUCAUCUUCAUCAUUCUUUUCAAUAGAUUUUUUAGGUUUGUCAUCUUUUGUUUGAAUUUCUUUGUUAAUUAUUUUUCCACUCCGAAGGGUUGUGACAGACUUAACUUGCUCAAAUUUAGGUUGGGAUGAACUUGCUUCAUGGACCUCAUGUUGACCCUUUGGGUUAGAUUGAGGUUGGGCUGGAAAUGUCCCUCUUUCCCUAACAUUAAGUUGAGCCUCAAUUCUACCUACAGAAUUUUUAAGUUCUUGAAGUGAUUGUAUUGUAUUCUGAUUUAUUUGAGUCUGCCCUUGCAUGAAGGUUUGCAAAGUAUCUUCAAGGGAUUUCCUAUGUGGUGGCACAUAAGGAGUAGGAACAGAAUUUUCUUGAGAUUCAUU
rnacentral:lncRNA from 1 species